UACGUAGGGGGCUAGCGUUGUCCGGAAUCAUUGGGCGUAAAGAGCGCGUAGGCGGCCAGAUAAGUCCGGUGUGAAAGUCACAGGCUCAACCUGUGAAUGCCGCUGGAAACUGUCUGGCUAGAGUCCGGAAGGGGCGAGUGGAAUUCCUGGUGUAGCGGUGAAAUGCGCAGAUAUCAGGAGGAACACCAGUGGCGAAGGCGGUGCUCUGGGCCGGAACUGACGCUGAGGAGCGAAAGCGUGGGGAGCAAACAGG
rnacentral:rRNA from 1 species